GAUGAACGCUGGCGGCGUGCCUAAUACAUGCAAGUCGAGCGAACAGACGAGGAGCUUGCUCCUCUGACGUUAGCGGCGGACGGGUGAGUAACACGUGGAUAACCUACCUAUAAGACUGGGAUAACUUCGGGAAACCGGAGCUAAUACCGGAUAAUAUAUUGAACCGCAUGGUUCAAUAGUGAAAGACGGUUUUGCUGUCACUUAUAGAUGGAUCCGCGCCGCAUUAGCUAGUUGGUAAGGUAACGGCUUACCAAGGCAACGAUGCGUAGCCGACCUGAGAGGGUGAACGCGCACACUGGGACUGAGACACGGUCCAGACUCCUACGGGAGGCAGCAGUAGGGAAUCGUCCGCAAUGGGCGAAAGCCUGACGGAGCAACGCCGCGUGGGUGAUGAAGGUCUUCGGAUCGUAAAACUCUGUUAUUAGGGAAGAACGAAUGUGUAAGUAACUAUGCACGUCUUGACGGUACCUGAUCAGAAAGCCACGGCUAACUACGUG
rnacentral:rRNA from 1 species